rnacentral:piRNA from 1 species
UCUAAAUAGCUUUGUAGGUGUGGUCCAUG